rfam:Schistosoma margrebowiei strain Zambia genome assembly, scaffold: SMRZ_contig0000690
AUCCAGCUGACGAGUCCCAAAUAGGACAGAACGCGCUUCAAACUGGAU